GUGCUGUGGCUUCGGCAGCACAUAUACGAAACCUGGAAUGAUACAGAGAAGGUUAGCGUGGCUGCUGGGCAAAGAUGUAUUGUUACAUAUUUAUUAUUUUAUU